CUCCUUACAUUUACAAGUCCCCGCCACCACCCUCACCAUCACCACCUCCUCCAUAUGUAUACAAGUCUCCACCCCCACCGUCGCCUUCUCCACCACCUCCAUAUAUUUAUAAGUCUCCACCACCACCAUCUCCAUCACCACCCCCUCCUUAUAUCUACAAGUCUCCCCCACCACCAUCACCUUCACCACCUCCUCCUUAUGUAUACAAUUCUCCUCCACCUCCAUCCCCAUCACCACCACCUCCUUACAUCUACAAGUCUCCACCUCCACCUUCACCAUCUCCACCACCUCCUUACAUUUACAAGUCCCCUCCACCACCAUCACCAUCUCCACCACCUCCUUAUGUCUACAAGUCUCCUCCACCACCCUCUAAAUCACCUCCAGAACCUUACUACUACAAAUCUCCAUCAUCACCAACCAUUGUCUACUAGUUGGAGUAACGACACUGCUUUGUUAUCUAUUAUGUUUCUUCUAUAUUAGUGAAAUAACGGACACCAAUUGAAGUUCGAGUUGGUCAUUUGGAUUCUGCAACAAUGAGGAUUGAAGAAGGAUUUUCUUGAGAUCUAAAGAAAUAUACAUACUACUGGAAUUUAUUAAAAGAUUUGGUCCAUGAGGCCACACAAUUGUUUUUAUUUUGAUGGCUCUUAUUUGCCACACUCUUCCUAUUUCAUUCUCAAUAAAUCUGGUUGUAUUAAUUUUUCAUUAA